UGCUUGUGAAAAAAUGUUGUAUUUAAUACAACUGAAAAUAAAAGAUAAAAAACUCACUUGUAUAUGUAUAAAUGUGAACCUAAGAAAUAUAAGUGUAAGUGUACACUUGUGGAACAUAAAAUUGGAGAUGCGUGUGUGAAAUUGUAACGGAAAAUAUCCUGUUCUGUGGUGUAAAAAAUUUGAUCAGACCCAAAGAGUAUGAUCGCGCUGUACUAAAAAGCUUGUAUGGAGGCAUGUAAAAUAUAUAAAGCGAGAGAAGGAGAUAGUCAUGUGUGUAAAAUUCAGUAUCCCUGUACGCGGC